GGGAUUGCCCUAGUAACGGCGAGUGAAGCGGCAACAGCUCAGAUUUGAAAUCUGGCCCGUCAGGGUCCGAGUUGUAAUCUGUAGAGGAUGCUUUUGGCGAGGUGCCUUCUAAGUCCCCUAGAACGGGGCGCCAUAGAGGGUGAGAGCCCCGUACAGUUGGACACCGAACCUUUGUAAAGCUCCUUCGACGAGUCGAGUAGUUUGGGAAUGCUGCUCAAAAUGGGAGGUAUAUUUCUUCUAAAGCUAAAUACCGGCCAGAGACCGAUAGCGCACAAGUAGAGUGAUCGAAAGAUGAAAAGCACUUUGAAAAGAGGGUUAAAUAGCACGUGAAAUUGUUGAAAGGGAAGCGCUUGUGACCAGACUUGCGCCCGGUGAAUCAUCCAGCGUUCUCGCUGGUGCACUUUGCCGGGCUCAGGCCAGCAUCGGUUCUCCUAGGGGGAUAAAAGUCUCGGGAACGUAGCUCUCUUCGGGGAGUGUUAUAGCCCGUGGCAUAAUACCCUUGGGGGGACCGAGGACCGCGCUCUGCAAGGAUGCUGGCGUAAUGGUCAUCAGCGACCCGUCUUGAAACACGGACCAAGGAGUCAAGCAUUAGGGCGAGUCUUUGGGUGUAAAACCCGCAGGCGCAAUGAAAGUGAACGGAGGUGAGAGCUUCGGCGCAUCAUCGACCGAUCCUGAUGUUCUCGGAUGGAUUUGAGUAAGAGCCUUACCGCUUGGACCCGAAAGAUGGUGAACUAUGCCUGAAUAGGGUGAAGCCAGAGGAAACUCUGGUGGAGGCUCGCAGCGGUUCUGACGUGCAAAUCGAUCGUCAAAUUUGGGCAUGGGGGCGAAAGACUAAUCGAACCAUCUAGUA
rnacentral:rRNA from 1 species